rnacentral:rRNA from 1 species
UACGUAGGGCGCAAGCGUUGUCCGGAAUUAUUGGGCGUAAAGAGCUCGUAGGUGGCUUGUCACGUCGGGUGUGAAAGCUUGGGGCUUAACUCCAGGUCUGCAUUCGAUACGGGCUGGCUAGAGGUAGGUAGGGGAGAACGGAAUUCCUGGUGUAGCGGUGAAAUGCGCAGAUAUCAGGAGGAACACCGGUGGCGAAGGCGGUUCUCUGGGCCUUACCUGACGCUGAGGAGCGAAAGCGUGGGGAGCGAACAGGA